CCCCAAGUUCUUGCUACAGAGAUGACGUAUUAAGGGAUGGCAACGGCCAAAACUCAUACACCACAGAUCCCGCCACAUCUAAAACUGGUGGCACUACACCUUGCACUAAACCUCAUCAAGAAGCUUGCAGGGAUGACCAUGCACGUACUACUACUUGCUCAGAUCAUAUACCCCCUC